UACGUAGGGUGCAAGCGUUGUCCGGAAUUAUUGGGCGUAAAGAGCUCGUAGGCGGUCUGUCGCGUCGGCUGUGAAAACCCGAGGCUCAACCUCGGGCCUGCAGUCGAUACGGGCAAACUAGAGUACUGCAGGGGAGACUGGAAUUCCUGGUGUAGCGGUGAAAUGCGCAGAUAUCAGGAGGAACACCGGUGGCGAAGGCGGGUCUCUGGGCAGUAACUGACGCUGAGGAGCGAAAGCGUGGGGAGCGAUCCGG
rnacentral:rRNA from 1 species